UACGUAGGGACCAAGCGUUGUUCGGAUUUACUGGGCGUAAAGGGCGCGUAGGCGGCAAUUCAAGUCAUCUGUGAAAUCUCCGGGCUUAACCCGGAACGGUCAGAUGAUACUGCUUUGCUAGAGUGCGGAAGGGGCAAUCGGAAUUCUCGGUGUAGCGGUGAAAUGCGUAGAUAUCGAGAGGAACACCUGAGGUGAAGACGGGUUGCUGGGCUGACACUGACGCUGAUGCGCGAAAGCCAGGGUAGCAAACGGG
rnacentral:rRNA from 1 species